CGCGUAGGCGGGUCCGCAAGUCGGUCGUGAAAUCCUUCGGCUCAACUGAAGGGGGUCGGUCGAUACUGCGGGUCUUGAGGGAUGCAGAGGAGACUGGAAUUCCCGGUGUAGCGGUGAAAUGUGUAGAGAUCGGGAGGAACACCGGUGGCGAAGGCGGGUCUCUGGGUAUCUCCUGACGCUGAGGCGCGAAAGCGUGGGGAGCAAACG
rnacentral:rRNA from 1 species